GCGCCGAACCUUCUGGAAUGACGCCACCCUAUGUCACAGCUCUGGAACGGUCUAGAAUUCCCGCGCGUGACAUCACCGCCCAGCCUUUGUAGUAGGAGGAGCCGGGGCGGGCUUUGCAGCAUCCGUCCGCUGUUACCAGGCAACCGCUGCUACUACCGGCGCUCGCGGCACUAAAAGGGACUUAGCUGCGCUGCCCCACCCCGAUACACCACGCAGCCAACCCCCUUCCCCAGAGAAACCGCCCACACGGCCGUCUCCGCCCCUCCCAGACCAGACUGACCAGCGAGUCACUCCGGUUGGCUGCAGAAGAAGGAACCCUGAAGAGGAAGAACUACGUCUAAUUUCAAAGUUCCACCAUUCAACAGUGAACCGUGCCUAGAACAGUGAUGGAUGGAAAAAGAAGAGGAGAAUCCAUCCUCAGCAUACAGGAUUCUGAAGACUAUUCACCUUCAAGAUCAUCAUCAUCUUCUAUAGUUUCAGAGUUAUCUGCCAAUGAUAGUGUUUCAGUCACAUCAUGUAUGUCACAUAGCCACAGUAUAUAUCACCUGUAGCAAAAAGAAAAAAAAAUCUCCAUCAUCUAGAAACAACCAUAGAUAAGUUUGUGAUAAGAACCAGCAGAUUACAAAAAGGGAUAAUUGAUGAAAAAAUUGCCCCAUUUGUUUAUGCAACACACUCUCCUUUCCGUAUUAUUGAGAAUCUACACUUCAUUAACAUGGUUCAGUCAUUAAGACCAGGAUACAGUCCACCCAAAAGAGCAGAUGUCGCAGGCAAAUUUCUGGAUAAAGUAUA